rnacentral:lncRNA from 1 species
GUUAUUACCUGGCUUCAUAAUUUGCAACACAACCAGAUGCAUUUAACGCCCUGGAUGUUAGAUUUAGCCUCCUGGUUUCCCCGAUUUUAUUCUGUUAAAAUUUCUCAUAUUUGUCGUAAAGGGAAUCAGGCGGCCGAUUGGGCAGCCUCUUACGCUUUAUCGGGUAAUUUUUGUUUUGACUCACACUCAUUGUAUCAGUAUCCUGAUUUGGCUCGU